rnacentral:rRNA from 1 species
AUAAGAUCCCUCAAAGAUGAUGAGGUUAAUAGGUUCGGGGUGUAAGCGCAGUAAUGUGUGUAGCUGACGAAUACUAAUCGAUCGAAGACUUAAUCAAAUU